GAGAAAAAGCUUGAUGUUGAUAUUGCAACCCAUAUACAUGUCAAAGAUGAUGGACCUAAGAGGAGGGUUUGAUAGCCAAAGACAAGUUUCGUGUCAGCUACAGAGGGUCAGCCUUAAACAGUUCAUUGUCUCAGGUUCUGAUGAACUGUCUGCGUUACUACCUCAGAAGGCCAGAAACAGACAUCGAUAGCUAUUGACACUUGGGGGACUCACUUUUCAACUGUGAACUCAAUGUAACGGCCCUUGUACCAAAAUGCUAUUGAGCUCAAAGUCACCUGCUAAGUUGUGUGUA
rnacentral:misc_RNA from 1 species